CGCAGCCGCGGUAAUUCCAGCUCCAAUAGCGUAUAUUAAAGUUGCUGCAGUUAAAAAGCUCGUAGUUGAAUCUCGGGACCAUCAUGUCGGUCGUGCCUCGGUACGUACUGGCAUUGUUGGUUUCUCCCUUCUGACGAACCAUGAUGUCGUUUAUUUGGUGUCGUGGGAAAUCAGGACUGUUACUUUGAAAAAAUUAGAGUGUUUAAAGCAGGCUCACGCUUGAAUACAUUAGCAUGGAAUAAUGAAAUGGGACGUUUGAUUCUAUUUUGUUGGUUUCUAGGAUCGACGUAAUGAUUAAUAGGGAUAGUUGGGGGCAUUAGUAUUCAAUUGUCAGAGGUGAAAUUCUUGGAUUUAUUGAAGACUAACUACUGCGAAAGCAUUUGCCAAGGAUGUUUUCAUUAAUCAAGAACGAAAGUUAGGGGAUCGAAGACGAUCAGAUACCGUCGUAGUCUUAACCAUAAACUAUGCCGACUAGGGAUCGGAUGAUGUUAAUUUUUUAAUGACUCAUUC
rnacentral:rRNA from 1 species